AGAUGCGACCGGCGCACGGGUGAGUAACACGUAUCCAACCUGCCGAUAACUCGGGGAUAGCCUUUCGAAAGAAAGAUUAGUACCCGAUGGUAUAAUCAGACCGCAUGGUCUUGUUAUUAAAGAAUUUCGGUUAUCGAUGGGGAUGCGUUCCAUUAGGCAGUUGGUGAGGUAACGGCUCACCAAACCUUCGAUGGAUAGGGGUUCUGAGAGGAAGGUCCCCCACAUUGGAACUGAGACACGGUCCAA
rnacentral:rRNA from 1 species